rnacentral:piRNA from 1 species
UCACUACUGCACUUGACUAGUCU